AACGAACGCUGGCGGCAGGCUUAACACAUGCAAGUCGAGCGCCACGGAAGGGGUGCGGUGGACUGGUGAGUAACGCGUGGGGACGUAACCUUAUCUUCGGGAUAGCCCUGGGAUACUGGAAUUAAUACCGAAUGUGCCCUUUGGCGGAAAGGUUUAUCGUGUAAGGAUCGGCCCGUGUUGGAUUAGCUAGUUGGUGGGGUAAGGGCAUGCCAUGGCGACGAUCCAUAGCUGGUCUGGGUGGAGGAUCAGCUACAUUGGGACUGCGACACGGCCCAAACUCGUACGGGAGGCAGCAGUGGGGAGUAUUGGACGAUGAGCGCAAGCCUAGGCCCGCCAUGCCGCGGGAGUUAUGAAGGGCUUAGGGUUGUAAAGCUCGUUCACCGGAGAAGUUAAUGACGGUAUCCGGAGAAGAAGCACCGGCUAACUACGUG
rnacentral:rRNA from 1 species